GAUGAACGCUGGCGGCGUGCCUAAUACAUGCAAGUCGAGCGAACGGACGAGAAGCUUGCUUCUCUGAUGUUAGCGGCGGACGGGUGAGUAACGCGUGGAUAACCUACCUAUAAGACUGGGAUAACUUCGGGAAACCGGAGCUAAUACCGGAGGAUAUUUUGAACCGCAUGGUUCAAAAGUGAAAGACGGUCUUGCUGUCACUUAGAGAUGGUUCCGCGCUGCAUUAGCUAGUUGGUAAGGUAACGGCUUACCAAGGCAACGAUGCAUAGCCGACCUGAGAGGGUGAUCAGCCACACUGGAACUGAGACACGGUCCAGACUCCUACGGGAGGCAGCAGUAGGGAAUAUUCCGCAAUGGGCGCAAGCCUGACCGAGCAACGCCGCGUGAGUGAUGAAGGUCUUCGGAUCGUAAAACUCUGUUAUUAGGGAAGAACAUAUGUGUGAGUAACCCUGCCCAUCUUGACGGUACCUAAUCAGAAAGCCCCGGCUAACUUCGUG
rnacentral:rRNA from 1 species